GGAUGUGAGGGUGAUCUGGCUGCUACAUCUGUGACCCCUUGAUUGUCAGGGUUGAUUCGGCUGAUCUGGCUGGCUAGGCAGCUGUCCAUUUCCUCUCUCACUGUUCCAUGUGCGUCUCUCCCAAAGCUGCGUGCUCAGUAGAAGAAAAUGACCUUCCCUGAUACAGGAGGACUGUUCUUUGGUCAAGGGUAUAUGAGUAGCUGACUAGCUGCACUCCCCUACUAGAACGUCCAAACAGGCUCUCAAGGCCCAUUUUUAGGAGAACAUAGGGUAGUCAAACUUCCAAGACUCCAAACACAUUCAAAUAAGGCAUUGCAAGUGGUAGUCUGCCUUUCGAA
rfam:Felis catus isolate Cinnamon breed Abyssinian chromosome D4, whole genome shotgun sequence.